rnacentral:rRNA from 1 species
UACGUAGGGCGCAAGCGUUGUCCGGAAUCAUUGGGCGUAAAGAGCUCGUAGGCGGCCUGUUGCGUCCGCUGUGAAAUCCCGGGGCUUAACCCCGGGCGUGCAGUGGAUACGGGCUGGCUGGAGGCAGGCAGGGGAGAACGGAAUUCCCGGUGUAGCGGUGAAAUGCGCAGAUAUCGGGAGGAACACCGGUGGCGAAGGCGGUUCUCUGGGCCUGUACUGACGCUGAGGAGCGAAAGCGUGGGGAGCGAACAGGAUUGAGAAACCCCAG